UCACAUCACAACAUGAUUGUCAGCAAGUCUGCUCUGUGGUUAACCCUGACUUCCAUCCUGUGUCUCUCCUGCUGCACAGCCCUGGCUGGCAAAGGCAACACUGGACCAGUAUGGAAAGAGAUCGGAGGAUCCAUCACUAUUCAGUGUAAAACCACCAUGAAAGAUUCAAUCUCCAUGUCUUUGCGUUGGGGUCUUCAUGAGCAGGUUGAAAUCCUCUCCGCUGCGAAGUCGACGAGUAAUGUAACAAUCAAGGAAGACCUUAAGCACAGAGUCAAGGCAAAAAAAAAUUACCCCACGCUUGACAUUGUCAUCAGAAACUUGACCGUGGAGGACACAGGAGCAUACUGGUGUCUAUACAAAAAGCUUGACUCAACAGACUACAGUCUCAAACAGGAAAAAGGCGAUGGCUCAGUCCUCCUGGUGGUGAAAGGUGCGGCGCUGUCCUGUGAGGAUAAGGACUCUUCUGAAAAACCACCCAGUACUCUGGUCCUGAUGAGUGUUUUGACUGCUGGCAUUGUGCUUCUCAUCACCUUUGUUCUUCUCUUCAUAUGGAUUAUAUUCAAGAUCAAGGCUAUACGCGGCAGCCCAAAACCAAGGCGGGUCAACACCAAUGAUGUUUACGAGGACAUGCGGGGCACCAUUAGACGCUAGAGGUGCCAGUGUGGGAAGUGAUGUGAUGCAAGCCGGCGCCUGAAGAGCCCGAAGAGCCUCACUCUCGCUGUACGCUGGAAGCUCACAUGAUAUGGAGCAAGUAGCAGCUUUCCACGUUUCUCUGUGUAUGUGUGUGUGUGUAGAGAGAGAGAGAGAAAGAGAGAGAGAGAGAGAGAGAGAGAGAGAGAGUAAUGUGCAUGUACAGCAAAAUGGUAAAAUCUGACAACACAUUGCUACCACAGACUAUGUAGGGGACAAUGGGGUAACAUGAGCCACUUUUUGCAUUUGAUAAUUUUAUUGCAAAAUAAAUGUGUAUUUGUUUUAAAUAAUAGUUAUAAUAUAUACCUCAGGUGGUUGUGUACCCAUCGAAAUCAAAACAAGUUAUCUAAUUAUUAUGGUUUUAGAAAAAUGACCCCUCAAAAACAUGUGGUCCUUUGGCACAACUUACCCCACGGUAGGGGUAAAAAGAGCAUUGAGACGAGGUAAACUGAGCCCUCUAGUGGUAAGUAGUGAGAUACUUUUGAAUGUUAUUAAUGUCACCAACUUAACAAAAGCAAAAACUCACAAUUUAAAGUUAAACAUAGUGUCUGUGGAAGGCAGUGGCUCUUGAAAAUGAUAUAGCCUGCAGGGUGGUGGCACUGUCUGAAGAGUUCAAAGCGGUCACGACUUCGGUGAAAACACAUUAUAGUAAUGCUGUUUUUACUUGCUUGCUGACUCAAAUGCAUGUUCUCUGCAUUUUAAGGGAAUUAAUCCAUGAAAUUGGUCUGCAGGAUUCUUGAUGUAGCUGGCAAGUUCAAACUCUAUGUUAUCAUCAAAAAUCAGAUGAGCUUUUGCUUGGCUGGAAUAACCUGUUCUGGAAACGUCCCUUCGUUUUGUUGCUACAUGUCGUCAGUGUGAUCCUGUCUAUCCUGUGGCAACAGACAUAAUGGAGCCAACCUCUGACACGUGUCUUGCUGCUCCUUUUAAAUCAUCCAAAGAAAGUGAGCCGCUAUUUGUCUUUUUUUGCACUACCUUACCAUCUUGAUCUCUAGAAAAUCAGAAAAUAAUUGCACAGGUUACUCUGCACGUAUGUAGCCUUUUUAAACUAUUUAAACACAGCCUCCAUUUGACGCUGUUUCAACGCUGUUUCACAAAGUGGCUCGAAUCCACAAGUAUCCACAAGUUUAUGAACUUGUUUUGUACCUUACACUGACUUAAAUUAACAUCUAACAAUGUCCAAAAUUUAUCUAUUUUAUUUAAGAUACAAAACAGAUAACUUAAGAUACAUGAUUAAUUUACUUUACAUGACAAACAUAAAUUUUUCUGGCUCUGGUUUGAUUGCCACUCUCUCAAUGAUGGAUUCCAUAAUGUGAGUUAUACUUCCUUAAUUUGUGGUCACAUGAUUACUCUUGGCUAUGGUUACCUAGAUAGAGAGGGUGGUUCAUUUUAUCCACUGGCUCAACCUACCCCAUUCUCCCCUAUAUGUGAUUUUGCAGUGACAUAACAUAGCUCCGUCUGAAAUGGAGAAAAAAAAACACAAGCCUUUGGGUCAGGCUUAUUUUUAAGCACCAAAGAAUCAAAAAUGCGCCCCAGUUUGGGCAGCCUUUGAUGCAUUGUAUUUUUAAUGUAAAUAGGUCUUCUGUGACUGAAGCUUUUUUGAAAGUUUUUUGUUUGUACAGGUGUUCAUACCAUCCCUACAGAUGUUUUAAUCAACUACAUAUAGGAAUUGUUACUUGAAAUGCAAUAAAAGAAAGACAUGAUCAAGACACAGGGUCUAUGUGUAAAAAGUUUUAAAAUAAAUGAAUACAUACAUAAAUGAAGUCAUUAGGCUGCCGCUUGACUCUUGGACUAGUAUGUAGCAUGAGGCAUUUCCUAACACUUUAUGCAUUUUUUUGAUUCCUCAUCAAAAUCAUAAAUGGUGUAUUAUCUAUUCUUAUCCAACACCAUUGAUUUACAGAGUACAAGCAGGAAGAACUUAAAUUUGUAUAAAAAUGUGGGUAAUUUGUUAUUUUUGAUGUUCUCUGACAGAAACAGAGGCAAACUAUGCCCCCAGUGUUAAAUGUCAUGGUGAAGCGGUCAGGUCGGGAGAGGGAAGUGAUCACUAUACACAAACAUCUGAAACCAGUCAGUGCCAAAUAAAAACAUGUUUAAUCUGUAAACCAAGGUACUGAUGAGAAAUCAUUCACUGUUUUGAAAGUGUUUGUAAUCUGAAAAGCGGCUGAAAUAUUUUAAGUAAGUUAAGAAUAAGGAGACAGAGAUCCUCUAUAGGUAAAGAGAUCGUCUGCAUAUAAAGACAGUCUAUACUCUGUACGAGUGAUUCUCAAACUUUGAU